GUGAGUCGGUCUUAGCAUAAUGUUUUUGGGGAGCGUCACGGCGGUGGGCACGUCAAAAAUGUGACUAUUGCCGACAAAAAGAAUAAGUGAUCAGUUUUGGUAAGCCCUCUUAGUUUCUUCCGUUUGAAG
ensembl:ncRNA T06F4.15 ncRNA